GAUAUCCUUGAGGAUCGAGUGAACAUAAUGCCUUCUGCUUCCUUUUUUGAGCCUCCCAGAGAUCAUGUCGAGGACCCGAAACCGUCAGCCCUUACGACUUGGAAGAAGAUAUUUUUACUAAUUUUUGGAGUCAUUACCAUCUGUGGGUGUGUGUUCAUAGGUGGUUUGUUCUACACCAAGCAGAAAGAACAGCAGCGUAAAAGGUUUUAUUAAAUUUGUUUUAAUAGAAUGAACUACCGGUUUACUUUAUGAUUGUAAACAAGUGCAGGUUCAUGGUCAGUACAGUAUACUUGACAUUUUUGAUAAAAUAUGGUAAUCAUUGUUUAAAAGCUUUGAUAUGUUUAUCAGAUUUGAAAUGCUUACAUUUUGGUGAAUACAUGUAGAAUCGAUUCUCAGCAAUAUAAAUCAGUCAUAAACUUAGUACUGUGCUGUCAUGGUAAAGCUUUUUUUUUUUUUUUUUUUUUUUUUUAACUUGUACAGUAUAUAAAGUUAAAUAUAUAAAUCAUGUAAUAAACAGCUCUGUCACUUUUAAUCUUAAAAGUGCUUUUAUUUAAAGACUUAAAUUACAAAUUUUUGCACAGUUUGAGCAGAAUUAAGUCAAUUUAGAUAAUUACAUAGUGUGACAGACAGAAUGUUACAAAAAGUCACCAUACACAUUUUCCUUGAAAGUAAUUACUCCAUAAUUAGGCAAUGUAUUGUUGCUAUCAUCCAGUGAUGGUAUGCAGGAAAUGUGGUGUUUGAGACCUGUCCUAGAAUUUUGAAAGUCUCUGAUGACUCAUCAAGUGUUACAACUAUUUUCUUUAAUAAAGCAAUUUGCUAUGUAGGGAAUCUGUAUAGUACAGGUUGGCCAUCACUAAUCCGGCAAUCACUUAUUCGGUUCCAUCAGUAAUCCAGCACUAAUUUAGGCUAGCAUAAUUUAAAAUUUCAUCAUUAUACUGACUCAGAAAUCAUGCAGAUGGUUGUAAAUCCACAGCAGCAAGCCAGUGGAGAAGAAAGCAGUGAUGAAAAUGAGGAAGAUGUGGCAGAAAGUCUCUGUUGAUAGGUUAAUUAAGUGUAUUCUAACCUAACCACUCUGUAAUCCGGCAAACUCAUUAAUGCUGCACACGACAGGUCCCAGUGAUGCCGGAUUAGUGAUGGCCAACCUGUAUCUUUGUGUAUGAUUGAUGCUCAGUCCAUAUGGGAAUGUAUUUCAUGUAGCAUUUUAUAUUUUUUAAGUAAGUGUGAUUGGGAAUAUGGUUUUGAGUAAAAUAUUGCUUAACCUGAACUCCAAAUAAUAUAUUGUGUGAUACAGUAUUGAUGCUGUUUAAAAGAUAAAAUUCCGAAUCCUAUUGAAAAUUUCAUAUAUCAAGGAUUAUAUCAAACUCUAGUAUUAGAUGUGCUUGUCAUUUAUAAUAUGCCAACUCGUACCUACUUUUGUGUAAACAUUCUUUUUUGUGUGUGAGAGUGAGUGAGUUAGUUACCCAAGUUUGCUGAAUGUUGUGGGGGGAGGGGGAGGAUUUCAGAGGGAGAAGGUUAACCCUGGCUCAUGAUAUUGCCUUUUAACUUUUAACCAUUGCAAAAUAGCUUUAUAUUUUAUUUACUUUGAACCUUCGUAUGGAGUAUAUAUCCACAACUUUUGUUUAGUUCUUUCCACUUCUUUACUAUUCAUAUGUAUUGAUUUUUUUUUUUUUUUCAUGUGACUCGUAUGGAUGUGUAAUUUCCAGCCAUGUCCUCUUGUUCUUGAUUGACCCUCAUAGUAUAUUCUACCUUGUCUGUCUCUGGGCAUUUUAUGUCAUUUUCUUAGUGUUUUUUCUUCAUGGCUCAUUCCUUCAACUUGGGAGUCAGUCUGGAUGAACUCCUGAUGAUUUUCUCAAGUUUCACUCUGUAUUUAACCAGAUGAGGGUUUAUUGUGUUACUUUUAAAUUAGUGUUUUGAAUGUAUUGUUUUAUAGUUAUGAAAGUUUAAUACAUGCGUAUGUUUGAGGGGGAUAAUGACUAUCGCUGAUUUAUCAAAAGAUAAUGAUUGUUCGGAAAGUUUGGAAAAUUUUCUCUGUUUUUCAGUAUUUAAGAAAUUCAUGCAGGUGGGGAUUGUUAUAUUGUACUUACACUGAUGAGUUAGCGUAAUAGUAUACCCAAUACAGUUGGGAAAAUGAAUUAAUCAAAUGUAAGAAAAAAGGCUAAAAUGGUCACUGUAUCAUAAAAAGAUUUGAUUUUAGAAUAAUAAGAGAUCUGCAGAUGGGUUUUCCAGUUAGGUAAUGCUGAUAACAAAAUGUGAAAUUAUUAUAAUUUGUCAUUAAAUUUUCAUUAAACCUUCUGUUGGAUUAAAUGCUGCUUCUUACAGUGUUGUCGUUACUUUUUAACUAAUUUGAAAAUUAUUUAAUAAGCUUUAAAUAUUCAGUUAAAUUUACCUUUAAAAAUGUGACAUGUACUCUGUUAGAGUUGGUGUCUGUAUAUGUAUUUUAAAGUUUGAUUCUCAUAACUGGCAAAAGGGAGUGAAGCAAACUGUUUUUUUAAACAUGGGAUUUCCAUGUAAUGAAUCUAUCAUGUGAAUAGUUGAUGAGUCUGCCAUGUAUGUAAUUAACAAGUCCGCUAUAAGAGAAACGAGCUGUAGAGUAGGUUGAUGUUCUUCCCCUUGAAAUGUUGCGAGGUGACAGUGAGGGGGAGGGGGUGCAUUAUCAUAUAAGCACUGUUUAGUAAUCAUUGAAUUGAAUUCAUUAUUUCCUUAACCAUCAUGGACACAAAACUGAGUGUGAGAGGUUGAUACACUACUGAGUAGUGGGAGUUUAGGUAUUUUAAGGUCAUUGUUUUGUCUUCUUUUUAUUUUGUAUUGUGUGACAUAUUUGUGUUUGAAGGGAGGAUUUUUUGUGUUUGAAUCAAAAUGUUUGUCACUUUUUUAGCAACCUUGCAUAAAUAUUUGAGUUGUC